rnacentral:rRNA from 1 species
GCAUAGGGGAGCCGGAGGGAAACCGAGUCUUAAUUGGGCGUUAAGUUGCAGGGUAUAGACCCGAAACCCGGUGAUCUAGCCAUGGGCAGGUUGAAGGUUGGGUAACACUAACUGGAGGACCGAACCGACUAAUGUUGAAAAAUUAGCGGAUGACCUGUGGCUGGGGGUGAAAGGCCAAUCAAACCGGGAGAUAGCUGGUUCUCCCCGAAAGCUAUUUAGGUAGCGCCUCGUGAAUUCAUCUCCGGGGGUAGAGCACUGUUUCGGCCAGGGGGCCAUCCCGGCUUACCAAUCCGAUGCAAACUGCGAAUACCGGAGAAUGUUAUCACGGGAGACACACGGCGGGUGCUAACGUCCGUCGUGAAGAGGGAAACAACCCAGACCGCCAGCUAAGGUCCCAAAGUCAUGGUUAAGUGGGAAACGAUGUGGGAAGGCCCAGACAGCCAGGAUGUUGGCUUAGAAGCAGCCAUCAUUUAAAGAAAGCGUAAUAGCUCACUGGUCGAGUCGGCCUGCGCGGAAGAUGUAACGGGGCUAAACCAU